rnacentral:rRNA from 1 species
UACGUAGGGUGCGAGCGUUGUCCGGAUUUAUUGGGCGUAAAGAGCUCGUAGGCGGUCUGUCGCGUCGGAUGUGAAAACCCAGGGCUCAACCCUGGGCCUGCAUUCGAUACGGGCAGACUAGAGUACGGCAGGGGAGACUGGAAUUCCUGGUGUAGCGGUGAAAUGCGCAGAUAUCAGGAGGAACACCGGUGGCGAAGGCGGGUCUCUGGGCCGUAACUGACGCUGAGGAGCGAAAGCGUGGGGAGCGAACAGG